rnacentral:ribozyme from 14 species
AAUUAAUUAAUUGAUUGGUUGUGUGUGUUUAUGGCUAUUCAUUUGUUUCCUAUUUCUUCUUCUUUUUUCCUUUGGCUAAGCC